rnacentral:lncRNA from 1 species
CCUCCACCCUUGUAAGCCUCUGCUUUCUUUUUUUUUUUUCCUAGGCUGUAUGGGACAACUUAACAGUAAAAAAAUAAGGUG